UUCUCCUGCCUCAGCCUCCUGAGUAGCUGGGAUUACAGGCGCCUGCCACCAUGCCUGACUAAUUUUUGUAUUUUUAGUAGAGAUAGGGUUUCACCAUGUUGACCAGACUGGUCUCAAACUCAUGACCUUAGGUGAUCUGCCCACCUCAGCCUCCCAAAGUGCUGGGAUUAUAUGUGUGAGCUACCAUGCCCGGCCUUUAGAUUGCUUUUGAAUGUCCUGGUUUUCUACAUGUUUUUUCCUUGUCAUAUUUUUAAGGAAUACAACAUUGUAAGACAUACUGCAUGUUUUUCUUGUAAUGGUUGUUUAUUUUGAAACAUCAUGAACUGUCUUGGCCUGAUAGGUUUGCAGAGGAAAUCAAAGAGGGAUCUGUGAAAAAGGCACUGUGGUAAGUUUGCUGUGUUCAGCUAACAUGUCUUUUUCUUUCUCCAGUUAACAAUUUAUGAAUAUUGACAUUUUUAAUGAUGUGGAAAUUUUCAGAAUUGUAAAUGUUUAUUUAUUUAAAACUGGUUGGAAUAUUGCUGUCUCAAAAGUGUUAAUAAAGCUAGUGGCCUAGCUGUAUAAACAUUCAUUUAUUCAAUAACUCUGACCUUUCUGAUCCUCGGUUCAGCCAACUCUAAAAUGGUUGCAAAGAUUACUAAAAAUAUAUGUUAGAUACUUCCAUAAAAUAGAAACUAAAAGGUAAAAUUUACUUUUAAAAAUCAGUAAUCCUAAUUCCUUACAGUUUAAUCUGGAAUUUACUAUUCUAUUUUCAGAGCUGCUAUACGACAUGCUGUCCUUUGCUGUUCCACUUGUAGCAGAAUUCAACGUUUUUCUAACAGGGUCUUAUCCUGGCACUGAGGGUGCUAGACUGGCGAUUUUGGCCGACUUAUUGGGUGGGUGGCUUCUUGGGGCCCACAUGAGCCAAUGGUAUCAUCCCCGCAGUGGAAGCUCCUUUCCUGGAUGCUCCUUGUCCAAGAAGAAGAGCAGAAACCACAUCCCUGAAAGGUAAUAUGUCUCGGUCCCUUGGCAUGGCCUUUCCAGCUCAUGGCUUCUGGGUGUGGGCUUCACCUUUUAUGGUCUCUGCGUCUCACAAGCUUGGCUUGUCUGCCCCUUGCUUUGAGGCUUUGACCCUCUUCGCCAGCCACUGUAGCUGAAAGGGGCAAUGUCUGUGAUGUCCUGUGAUUUCUCCUUAUUCUUGUAAAAGCGAGGUUCUGGCCAUUGCUCUUAGGUAAAAUACGAAAGGAUUGCUUUAAGGCGGGACUGUUACUUUUGGGGACACUCCUUAAUUCCCAAAAUCGAACCUCCUCAAUUCCUUGUUACUUGGCAUGGAAAGUGUAAUGAUUUGAGUUAGGAAGCCAGUAGUAGCGCCCUGAGAUCACACAUGGAAAGUUGGUUUGUAUUGUUUGCAGAAAUCACGAAGAGCAUACGCUGUUAGGUCCUAAUAGUCCUCAUUGGAGAGUUGUUCCUUUAUACGUACAAAUGAUUAAUUUUGAGACUUUGCACGUAUGUGCAGUGAACUGUUUUUACUCCUUGAGACCAUCCUCCACCAUUUCAUACCUCAAUAAAUCCUCUUUAUAUUAUGUCCUAUCUUUUGACUGUCACCUUCUGUCAGCCCCCAAUAG
ensembl:lincRNA